rnacentral:tRNA from 1 species
GGAGAGGUGGCUGAGUGGUUGAAAGCGCUGGUCCCGAAAACCAGUAGGGCCGCAAGGCUCUCGAGAGUUCGAAUCUCUCCCUCUCCGCCA